rnacentral:rRNA from 1 species
UGGCCUCGGGACGCAGCAGUGGGGAAUAUUGCACAAUGGGGGGAACCCUGAUGCAGCGACGCCGCGUGAGUGAAGAAGUAUUUCGGUAUGUAAAGCUCUAUCAGCAGGGAAGAAGAUGACGGUACCUGACUAAGAAGCCCCGGCUAACUACGUGCCAGCAGCCGCGGUAAUACGUAGGGGGCAAGCGUUAUCCGGAUUUACUGGGUGUAAAGGGAGCGUAGACGGCAGGGCAAGUCUGGAGUGAAAGCCCGGGGCCCAACCCCCGGACUGCUCUGGAAA